CUUGGUCAUUUAGAGGAAGUAAAAGUCGUAACAAGGUUUCCGUAGGUGAACCUGCGGAAGGAUCAUUAUCGUACAAAAUGUGAGGGGCAUGCGAGGGCUGUCGCUGACUCAAAGUCGUGCACGCCCGAGUGUGUCCUCUCACAUAAAUAAUCCAUCUCACCCUUUGUGCAUCACCGCGUGGGCACCCUUUGGGAUCAUCUCGGAGGGGGCUCGCGUUUUCACACAAACCCCCCUUUUAAAAGUGUAGAAUGACCUCAUUUAUGCGCUAACCCGCAAUCAAUACAACUUUCAACAACGGAUCUCUUGGCUCUCGCAUCGAUGAAGAACGCAGCGAAAUGCGAUACGUAAUGUGAAUUGCAGAAUUCAGUGAAUCAUCGAAUCUUUGAACGCACCUUGCGCCCCUUGGUAUUCCGAGGGGCACACCCGUUUGAGUGUCGUGAAAACCUCAACCUCCUUGGUUUCUUCUGGAGACCAAAGCAGGCUUGGACUUUGGAGGCCUUUGCUGGCACCUCUCUUUUGAAGGCCAGCUCCUCUUAAACAAAUUAGCAGGGUCCUCUUUGCCGAUCCUCGACGUGUGAUAAGAUGUUUCCAUGUCUUGGUUUCUGGCUCUGUCACUUUUGGGACCCGCUUCUAACCGUCUUGAGACCUUGCGUCGAGACAACGUUCGAGCAUGUCUCCCUUUUCUCGGGAAGCUCCCUCGACCCCACGAACCCUUGACCUCAAAUCGGGUGAGACUACCCGCUGAACUUAAGCAUAUCAAUAA
rnacentral:rRNA from 1 species